rnacentral:rRNA from 1 species
UGGGUAAUCUACCCUCGGUUUCGGGAUAGCCGGGAAACCCGGAUUAAUACCGAAUGGCCUCUCGAGCUCUCGGGCUUGAGAGAAAAGGUAGCUUCGGCCUCUGUACCGAGGAUGAGCCCGCGGCCGAUUAGCUAGUUGGUGGGGUAAUGGCCCACCAAGGCGACGAUCGGUAGCUGGUCUGAGAGGACGAUCAGCCACACGUGGGACUGAGACACGCCCGGGANACCUCCGUACGGGGAGCAG